rnacentral:rRNA from 1 species
GACGAACGCUGGCGGCGUGCUUAACACAUGCAAGUCGAACGGAAAGGCCCUGCUUUUGUGGGGUGCUCGAGUGGCGAACGGGUGAGUAACACGUGAGUAACCCGCCCUUGACUUUGGAAUAACUUCAGGAAACUGGGGCUAAUACCGGAUAGGAGCUCCUGCUGCAUGGUGGGGGUUGGAAAGUUUCGGCGGUUGGGGAUGGACUCGCGGCUUAUCAGCUUGUUGGUGGGGUAGUGGCUUACCAAGGCUUUGACGGGUAGCCGGCCUGAGAGGGUGACCGGCCACAUUGGGACUGAGAUACGGCCCAGACUCCUACGGGAGGCAGCAGUGGGGAAUAUUGCACAAUGGGCGGAAGCCUGAUGCAGCAACGCCGCGUGCGGGAUGACGGCCUUCGGGUUGUAAACCGCUUUCGCCUGUGACGAAGCGUGAGUGACGGUAAUGGGUAAAGAAGCACCGGCUAACUACGUGCCAGCAGCCGCGGUGAUACGUAGGGUGCGAGCGUUGUCCGGAUUUAUUGGGCGUAAAGGGCUCGUAGGUGGUUGAUCGCGUCGGAAGUGUAAUCUUGGGGCUUAACCCUGAGCGUGCUUUCGAUACGGGUUGACUUGAGGAAGGUAGGGGAGAAUGGAAUUCCUGGUGGAGCGGUGGAAUGCGCAGAUAUCAGGAGGAACACCAGUGGCGAAGGCGGUUCUCUGGGCCUUUCCUGACGCUGAGGAGCGAAAGCGUGGGGAGCGAACAGGCUUAGAUACCCUGGUAGUCCACGCUGUAAACGGUGGGUACUAGGUGUGGGGUCCAUUCCACGGGUUCCGUGCCGUAGCUAACGCUUUAAGUACCCCGCCUGGGGAGUACGGCCGCAAGGCUAAAACUCAAAGGAAUUGACGGGGCCCCGCACAAGCGGCGGAGCAUGCGGAUUAAUUCGAUGCAACGCGUAGAACCUUACCUGGGUUUGACAUGGAUCGGGAGCGCUCAGAGAUGGGUGUGCCUCUUUUGGGGUCGGUUCACAGGUGGUGCAUGGCUGUCGUCAGCUCGUGUCGUGAGAUGUUGGGUUAAGUCCCGCAACGAGCGCAACCCUUGUUCACUGUUGCCAGCACGUUAUGGUGGGGACUCAGUGGAGACCGCCGGGGUCAACUCGGAGGAAGGUGGGGAUGACGUCAAGUCAUCAUGCCCCUUAUGUCCAGGGCUUCACGCAUGCUACAAUGGCUGGUACAGAGAGUGGCGAGCCUGUGAGGGUGAGCGAAUCUCGGAAAGCCGGUCUCAGUUCGGAUUGGGGUCUGCAACUCGACCUCAUGAAGUCGGAGUCGCUAGUAAUCGCAGAUCAGCAACGCUGCGGUGAAUACGUUCCCGGG